GUGUAGGCUGGCCCAGAACAAUGGGGAAAGGAAGAGGAGGGCUGGAACAAAGGGAACUGGCUGGCCUGGAGCAAGAUAUGUACAUAUUCAAGGAGCCUCGGGGUAACAGCUGUCCUGAAGUUGGGAGAGUGGGUUGGAGUGGAGAAUGGAGGAGGAGUAGAGUCUGCAGAGCCGUGAAUGCCAGAUUCACCUAGAACUUUUCCCUUAAGUGUGUGUUUUGUUUUGAGGGCAGGGCACUUAAUGAAAAGAAGAGUAGACUGAGAGCCUUGUGCAGAAGGAACCAGACGUGGAGAGGAAAGGAUGAAAAGAAUACUUAGAAAGGGGCUCUAGUACUGGGCUCAGUCAUUCGACUCCAUUUAGGGGGUGCUUGCUCUGUGUCCUGAGAUAGAAGAGAGCAGCUCUUCCCUGAAGGAGCUCACAGUCUAGUGAUAGGAGACAGAAUAUUCUCAUGCAGUGCCGUGAACACUACCGUAGAAGAGUUAGGAAUUCCCAGCCUGGGCCAUCCGGGAAGGCUUCCCAGAGGAAGAGACACCAGAAGGACUAAUUUGCAGGACUAAAUAGAGUUAGCUAGGUGCAGAAGUCGGGGAAGAGCAAUCCAGACAGAGGAUCAGCAGGCGCUCAGGCACUGAAGCAAGAGAGAGCAAGAGGCAUUGCAGGAACUGCAAGCAGAUUGAUUGGCUCAGGUGAAGGUGGGACAUGAGCAAGCGACCAGAGAGCGAAUCCAAGAUGUGCAAAGAGAAUUUUUUAAAAGCAGCUGGUAUUACUAUAAUUUGUCAGCAAACGGAUUAUGGAAAGUCUUUCAUUCAAUCAAGACGGUGAAGGCAAAGGCCUUAGUCCCUGCUGAUCAAAAUAAUAGCAUCAGUCAAUAGUAAUUUAUAUGAUGAUCCAGAUGCCGCUUCUUCCCCAGGAGGAGCAGGUAAGCAGCUCCUCUCUACAGGACCCACACGAUCUUCCGAGCUGAACUCCAAGGUCAGAUCCUAUCUGUGGCCUGCAGACGUCAUAACACUUCUCCCCCAGCCCCGUCCAGUACUUCAGCCUGCAUCUUCUAAGAAAAGGGAUACUCUUCAACUUAACCACAAUACUACUUCCCCCACAAGGACAUUAACAUUUAUUUAAUAAUUCUCAUCUAACAUAUAGUCUAUAUUUAAAUUUUCCCAAUUGUCCCCAAAAUAUCAUUUGUACUUUUUUCCUGAUCUGGAAUCCAAUGAAAGUUUACAUAUUACAUAUGAGUACUCUGAUUUAUUCUUAGAUGCAAAAUGAGUUUAAGCAAAUUGUUUAUGCCCAUGAUCAAGAAUCUUUUUGUGAACACCCUGACUUUUUUUGAGGAAGAUUAGCCCUGAGCUAACACCAGUGCCCGUCUUCCUCUACUUUAUAUGUGGGAUGCCUGCCACAGCAUGGCUUGACACAUGGUGCCAUGUCUGCACCCGGGAUCCAAACCGGUGAACCUAGGGCCGCUGAAGCGGAACGUGUGGACUUAACUGCUGCGCCACCGGGCUGGCCCCAGCCCUGACUAUUUUUGAGAUAGGAAGUCGGGUUUGGAAACAAAAGCAUUGUUAUAUUACAGUGGAAAGAAAACCGGGCGAAGCAUUCAGCAUUCUGGAUUCCAGGUCUUGUCCUAUCACUAAUCAUCUGCCCAAAGUCAGUGAGGACGUUUGUGAUCCAGGAGGACGACGACCUCUGCUCUCCGUCGGGCCGGGACUGCAGCCUGUGCAGAACUGUUUAUACCGGCACUUUGUGCCAAUGAUACACUGCUAAGGGUGCAUAUCAAUCAGGUAUUCCUUAGCCGGUCUUGUUGAUGGAUUGAUCCGGCUAUGCUGUUCGAAUCCAGGGGGGUGUUUACAAUCCAGACACACAAAGUCAAGGGAUUUGUCCUGUGUCUGUUCCUUGCAUGCAUGGAUUUAUUCAGCAUUACCCAGCCCACCUUAGGCCUAGAGGGGCCUGCACCAAGGAACGUGAGGUGACCCUCCCAGUGCACCCCAUCCUGGGCUUGUCAACUGUCAGGGGUCCUUCAGCCGGGGAGCGGGGAGCGCAG
rnacentral:lncRNA from 1 species